UAGAGUGAGGCAGCCAGAAACCCCAGAGAUCAACGCUAAAGAUGAGAAGCACCUCCUGGGAGCGGCCAGGGCCAGCCCCGAGUUAAAUCAACACUCGGCUGUUUGGCUCCGAACCUCCACUCCCCAGUCUCUCGCCUAGUCUAGCUUCCUGCCAAGUUGUCUGGUGCCUUCCUGCUGAUCCCAGCUGUUUCUUCCUCGAGACAGCCUGGCAACCGUUCAAGGCUCUGAUUCUUGUCGUCUGAAGGCCACCAGCGUCCCCCCUUCUCCCGGGGCCGCGGAAGGGGACGGACGGGAGAGCGUAUCCUGAUAAAGGCAGAUUGGGGUGGAAGUGAACGCUUUAGGCAUGUCUUCCAAAUUCACUUCGAGGUACAGAAGAGUGUAACCCAACAGGAAGGCAAUAUGGCACAGCCACCUUGGAAGAUACCAGAGCAGUUUCUUGCAAAACUAAACAUACUCUCACCACAUGAAACAGCAGCGUCGUGCUCCUUGGAGCUGAAAACAUACCCCCACACACGGACCUGCGUGUGGGUGUUUAAAACACCUUGAUUCACGUUGGCUACAACUUGGCCGCGGCCUGAUGUCCUUCGGCGGGGGAGGGGCAAACGCGCCAUGGUCCACACACACACGAUGGGAUGUUACACGGCGUUUGACAGAAAUGAGCUCUCGAGCCAUGAA
rnacentral:lncRNA from 1 species